rnacentral:rRNA from 1 species
AACGAACGCUGGCGGCAUGCCUAACACAUGCAAGUCGAACGAGACCUUCGGGCCUAGUGGCGCACGGGUGCGUAACCCGUGGGAACCUGCCCUUGGGUUCGGCAUGACUCCCCGAAUGACGUGCUAAUACCGGAUAUUGUCUUCGAACCAACGAUUUAUCGCCUUUGGAUGGGCCUGCGUUGGAUUAGCUAGUUGGUAGGGUAAAUGCCUACCAAGGCGACGAUACAUAGCUGGUCUGAGAGGCUGGUCAGCCACACUGGGACUGAGACACGGCCCGGACUCUUACGGGAGGCAGCAGUGGGGAAUACUGGACUGUGGGCUGAAUGCUGAUCCAGCUAUGACGCGUGAGCGAUGAAGGCUUUAGGGUUGUAAAGCUCUUUUACCCGUGAUUAUAAUGACAGUACCGGGAGAAUAAGCUCCGGCUAACUCCGUG